UUUUUUUCAUCUCAGAUCAUCCAGCCCCUCUUAGAACUUGACCAAAAUAGAAGCAAAUUAAAGUUGUAUAUUGGACACCUGACAGCCCUCUGCCAUGAUCGAGACCCCCUGAUCCUUCGUGGACUCACGCCACCAGCUUCCUAUAACUUGGACGAUGACCAGGCAGCUUGGGAGAAUGAGCUGCAGAAGAUGACCCAGGAACAGCUUCAGAAUGAGUUAGAAAAAGGUGAACGGGACAACGCAGAACUGCAGGAGUUUGCCAACGCCAUUCUUCAGCAAAUAGCUGAUCAUUGCCCCGACAUCCUGGAGCAAGUGGUCAACGCAUUAGAGGAGUCAUCUUGACCCUGCUUCGUGGGGAGUGGCCAGCCCAGCAGCCAAGAAAGGGGGACUGUAGGGAACAGGCACCCAAAAACUUCUUGGCACCAAACACUACAAAGUACAUCCUGUCUUGCUCACUUGAAGAGGUGUGAUUCCAGCACCACUGCUACAUCUGUCAUCUUACUCUGUCUUUCUGCUUUGGGUGUUGUCUCUACACUAAUUUUCUUGAUGUCCAGGGUGGGUAAAUGGCCAAAUCUCUAUGAAGGACUGCCAUCCAGUCAUCAACAGGAGAACUGUGGAAGCUGGUGGCUCUGCCCAUACAGAGGGACAUGGUGUAGAGAGCCCUCCUACCUUCUGUCCUUCAACGUGAGAACCAAAUCUGGAAUCUACUUGGAGUUCAGCAUAUUGACAGAAUCCCUCACAGUGGACCAGAGAGCUGAGUGUAAUAAUAUCACAAUAGGUGCUUUCUCCUAAAAGGAAAAAAAAUCUCAAAAAGAGUAUUGGAUAAAGAGAGGUGAGAGGAAAGAGAGAACAGGGACAAAGAGAAAACUAACUCUUCUUUUUACUGUCUCUUUUGUUUAUUUUCAUGUGUCAUGUUUUAUACAGGGGCACUACAAGCAGGCCUCGCGAUAGCUUAGCAAGUACCAGUCCCCCAGGUUGUGAGUCUUCACCCCAGCCCUGUCUGUCUGUCUCACCCUCUCCUGCUCUACUCCUAGAUGAACAGUUCUUCCCCUAGUCUCUCUUGUUUAGGACCUUUGAUCUUAUCCUACUUAGUUGUUGGAUCAGAUACUUCUAGCUGAGAGAAGAGGGUUGGACAUGUGAGCCCUGUCUUCGCCACCUGCAGCUUGGCUCCUGCAGAAGAUGACCAUGCCUUGGGGUCAGACUGCUUUCUCCUGAGCAUCUCCAGAGUGCUGUCUGCCAUCCUGCCACCACAUCCCGAGCUCCUGCAGCCCAGUGGCCAUACCGUUUACAACCCAUCUCUCACCCUUUCAGCUUUACUCUUGACCUGCUCUCUCAGAACCACAGCCUUGUUCAUUGCCUGGAACCUUCUUGCGGCACAACUGCAUGCUUCUUAUCCCACGCACAUUCCUUCCUUCAUCCUUCCAUUCAGAGAAUAUUUAUGAAAUGCCUGCUGUGUACAAAUCACUGUGCAAGGCGCCCAUCCUAGGAAAGUCUCUGCAGUGAGGGAGAGGUGCAGAGGAUUCUGAGACAUCCCCGGGGGAGUCAAAGCAGCAAAAGCGUACCUUCCCUUACCCCAUCUUAAUAGAAUGUAUCUUUUCUAGGAAAGUCUUUCACAAAUCAGCACUUCUUGUCAUAACAGAAUGGAUGGGUUUGGGGGCUUAGUCAUACAUUAGCCUACAGGAUCCACUUGGUGAUUCAGGAUUUUUGCUGUUUGUUGUCGUUACCCUUAAAGAGUGUGCUGUUUAGAAGGCUAUGAGAAUCCACUUGUGGAUGGUGAUUUCUUACCACAUCUGCAUGCACUUUGUGGAAUUUGGCCGGCUCCAUGUUGCAAAUCAGAAAGUUGACCUCAAAGUUGCAAGUCCACUUGAAGGUAUUGGCAUUUUGAGGGGCAUUUUCCCAAGCACAGACAAUGGCAGUUGUAAACAACUAGACAGCAAGAAAUAGACCACUUAACCCACAUCUAGCCCUUUGACCAUGUCUACCCCCAGAAACCCACCAGACACAUCAGAUAAAAGUCACUGAACUGGACGUUUUUAUCUUGCGCUUUGUCCUCUCUCCUUCCCCAGUUGCUCACUCAAAAGAAUUUAGUGCUGCCCGUGAAGUCCUCGCAGCCGUGGGUCCAGGUCCUUCCCACCUCAGCCCUUGACUGUCCCGCUAACUUACAUGAUCGCCUCUCCAGCUCCCUCAUUCCCUGCUGUAAAAUACUCCCUCUCCCUGUGAGAAGCUGCGGAGCAGUCCUUAUUGAAGGUUUAAAUGGGCUCUGCUCAUAAACCUCUCACUGAGAUGCUUCCUGACAGCCAGGCUGGCCAGAGGGAGGUGCAGGAGAUAGACAGCCACGGGUGUCGUCUGUGGUCAGUUCCCUCAGUUCUGUUUAUUGUACGGCCCAUAAACCAUGCACAAAGCUCCCAGUGUAUCAGGGCUGGAGUGUUAGAAUCUCACUUCAUCCACCAUAGUGUGAAGAACUGAGGUAUGACAACAGCCUUCACAGGGCUACAGCAGAACAGAGAAAGCAGGAGAAGAGCCUGGGACCCAGUGACAUGGGCUGGCGCUGGUCUGGGAGCACAGGCGUCGGCAGCCUCCUGGAUCCAGCCCGUCCUGCCUCGCGCAUCCAGCACCGCUCCCGCCACUCUUGCCACUGGCAUGUGGCUCUCCGGCAUCUCCUUCCUCCUUCUUGUUUUGAUUUUCCCAUCAUUUCUCCUCCAGGAAAACAACAGGAGCCCUCUGUGACAAGUGCUUCUGAGAAAAAUAAAUUCUAGGACAGACAUCCUCUGUCUGGUCUCUGUGAACCAUAGCUGGGAAUCCCCUUAAUCCUUCUUGAGCGAUGAUCUGGUGUCUCAUGUGACUCUGGGGACUGUUUGGCUAAAGUUUAAUGGUAAACGUGGCCUGCCUUUAUAUUACAGGGGCAAAGUUAACACAGUGUCUAGCAUUAGAGUAUCUUGUUGAGUUAAGAUCAUUUGUUGAGCCAACAUUUACUAACGCCUAACUCCCGCUGCACUGGCACUUGUCGUCCUGUGACCCUCUUCUGGCAUUCAUGGUUUCAUAAGGUCACUCAACUGCUCCUGGAGGUAGAGAGCCUUGAAAACUCUCCGCAUCCUUCCCCAGACUCAUCCGUUCUAUUUGCAGGUCUCAUUGCUCUGUAGCACCUAAAGAUCUGAACCCCAAAUCAAGGUCAUCAUAAAGAGGACAAUAGAGUGGGUGGAAUCCAACCCGGGCUCACGACUAAGGAAAUAGCGGGGGAGUUUCCCCUCUUUUCAUGUUCCUCCAUCCCAGGCACUUACUGAGUUGCUCAUGGAGUAUCUGAAUUGAGAUUUGUAAGGACUUGGAUACCAUUGGAAAUGUAGAAGAUUUUAAAUGGGCUUUAACCUGUUAAGAAAUAGCAACGGGAAUCUCCAAAUUCAUCUCAGCUCUAGCCGUUGUCCUUGCACCUUACAGUCUAAAGACGGAAGUGCGUCUGUCUCUUCCUCACACUGGGGCUUUAGAAACACUGCUGGAGCAGACGAGCCGGCCCGCCCGCGGUGUUGAGGGUGGCCAUGUGACUUGCCACCUGUCGUCAAAGUCUGUUUCUUUUUCCAUGAGGAGCUCAUUGGCUCGCUCACUCCCCAGAGUGAGAAGAGGAAGGAGAAGUCCUCACAGAGUUUUAGUUCACCGCUGACCCCGACCCUCCGCUGCUGAUGGACAGGAUUGGCAUUUGGAUUUGCUGCUAGAGAGUCCAGCUGAUUCCAGAACCAAAUCACCCUCCUCUUUGGGCCACCCUCAGGGGCUUUGAGGAAAGAGCGAGGCAAGGAAUACGCUCCCGUGGCAUUUCCUAGGUCCCAGUGGACCCUGCGUCAGCUGUGUCACUAGCUUUCACGUCUGCCCCCCCAGCCUCCUCCCCACCCACGAGAGGUGAGAACCGUGGACAAGAUCGAGGACGCGGUGCCCACAGCCGCCCACCCAUCACUGCCAGCCCUGGGGCUCUCGGGAGGUGACCCGAACCUGCAGAGGAAUGUUUUUAAAAGGGUCUGGAGCCUCCCCCAUGUAAAUUAAAAGAACAUUUAGGCAAGAAAAAACAUGUAUUACAGGGAAAUCCUUCUGAACAAAAUGGCUGUCUUUACCUGUUCUUUUUAAGCAAAAACUGUUUCCAAACUUUUUAGUGUCAAAACUGUAACCAGGUGUCUCCUGAUUUUCUUCCAAUGUGUUUGGCAAGUGCUGUGACCCUGUUGUAGGCAUUUCUCCUCCUGACUCUUUUGGGGGAGAAGUGGUUUUAGGGCUUGAUUUGGGGAGUGGAUUUCUGUCCCAUCCCACCUCCUCUUUUGUUUCUGUGCUUGUUGGUAUUGUCUGUGUGAUUCAGAGAAUUGGGCAGUUACAUUGUGUCCAUUGUUGAGAUUAUUAAAAUAUUAAAAAGUAGUUGUAGAACUGAGAAAUUAAAGAGCUGUGUUUUAAAAAUGCAAACCAAUACCAUGUUAAUGCAGGAGUUCAAGCUAUGGGGCAGCCCACCUCCUCCCCUCCCUAGCUGGCCGAGGUGGCAGCUGGGCUAGCCGCUGGGGAAAUGGUGACCACGGUCCAGGCAGGUGACUGCCUGGGUGAAAGAGACAACUACUCAGUGAAAGGAAUAAGAACCUGGGGCCUCAAGGCUCUCAAUCGUGCCAGGAUUUUCCUAUACACCCUCAGGACCUCUGGGUAGAGGUUUCAAACUUUAUGACCCCAGAACCUCCCUCACCCCCACAUUGGUCCCAGCUCAGUGUGCCUAAUACUGUGUGGUAACCUGGGCUUGCCUCUGAAGCCCCAUACCUGGCAGGCCCCAGGACCUCUUUCCUGCCCACUUGGUGCUAUAUCAUCCAGUGACCCAUCCAAUACAGGCCAAGCACUGGCCAACCUGGAGCUGCAAUCCAGGUGGAAUGCAUUGCACUCAGAUCUCAGUUCCUUCUGCUUCAGGCCCUGGAUUCUUUCCCGUUAAGCUCCUUAGACCCAGGUCUCCCAUGCCUAGCUUGCUGUCUUGGCCCCAGAGAUGCCAUGAUGAGGAAAGGAGUGGACCGUACUGAAGCCAGAGCCAGCACGCUGACCCCUCCCCCACCACACCAGUAUUGCAGCCAUCCUCUUACGCAGCUGACCGACCUGAGGGCACCACCACCCAUGCUGGCCUGCCUGCCCCAUGGCAGGACUAGCCCAAGAACCUGCCGAGCACAUCGGGACAUCCAGGGUGGGGACUUGGGGUUCGCUCCCCUAUGCUUCAGAAGAGAAGUGCUGCACUUUAGUGGAGAAGCUAAGGAGCGCUGGGUACUGACUCCUUGUAGCUUGAGUUCCUUUUGGUGACAGUAGCAGCCUAAAGGUGGUGUCUGUGAUGCAAAUGCACCUGCUGCCUUCAACUGUAUGUGUGUAUUGCUGGAGUCUGUUACUGACAGGAUAAUGACAUUACAAAGAAAUUGUGUCAUAUUCAACUUUGCCUUGAUAAUUAUUGUAAACACUUUGUUCAUUUUUUCUUUUUUAUUCACAAACUAAAUCCAUCAGGAAAUUAUAAAGUUAUUUAAAAACUG